AAAUUGAAGAGUUUGAUCAUGGCUCAGAUUGAACGCUGGCGGCAGGCCUAACACAUGCAAGUCGAACGGUAACAGGAAGCAGCUUGCUGCUUCGCUGACGAGUGGCGGACGGGUGAGUAAUGUCUGGGAAACUGCCUGAUGGAGGGGGAUAACUACUGGAAACGGUAGCUAAUACCGCAUAACGUCGCAAGACCAAAGAGGGGGACCUUCGGGCCUCUUGCCAUCGGAUGUGCCCAGAUGGGAUUAGCUAGUAGGUGGGGUAACGGCUCACCUAGGCGACGAUCCCUAGCUGGUCUGAGAGGAUGACCAGCCACACUGGAACUGAGACACGGUCCAGACUCCUACGGGAGGCAGCAGUGGGGAAUAUUGCACAAUGGGCGCAAGCCUGAUGCAGCCAUGCCGCGUGUAUGAAGAAGGCCUUCGGGUUGUAAAGUACUUUCAGCGGGGAGGAAGGCGA
rnacentral:rRNA from 2 species